CUACGGGUUGCAGCAGUGAGGAAUAUUGCACAAUGGGGGGAACCCUGAUGCAGCAACGCCGCGUGGAGGAUGACGCAUUUCGGUGUGUAAACUCCUUUUAUAUGUCAAGAAAAUGACGGUAGCAUAUGAAUAAGCACCGGCUAACUCCGUGCCAGCAGCCGCGGUAAUACGGAGGGUGCAAGCGUUACUCGGAAUCACUGGGCGUAAAGGACGCGUAGGCGGGUUGGAAAGUCAGGUGUGAAAUCCUACAGCUUAACUGUAGAACUGCACUUGAAACUUCUAAUCUAGAGUAUGGGAGGGGGAGAUGGAAUUAGUGGUGUAGGGGUAACAUCCGUAGAUAUCACUAGGAAUACCUAAAGCGAAGGCGAUCUCCUGGAACAUUACUGACGCUAAAGCGUGAAAGCGUGGGGAGCAAACAGGAUUAGAUACCCGGGUAGUC
rnacentral:rRNA from 1 species